rnacentral:rRNA from 1 species
GAUGAACGCUGGCGGCGUGCCUAAUACAUGCAAGUCGAGCGAACGGACGAGAAGCUUGCUUCUCUGAUGUUAGCGGCGGACGGGUGAGUAACACGUGGAUAACCUACCUAUAAGACUGGGAUAACUUCGGGAAACCGUAUCUAAUACCGGAUAAUAUUUUGAACCGCAUGGUUCAAAAGUGAAAGACGGUCUUGCUGUCACUUAUAGAUGGAUCCGCGCUGCAUUAGCUAGUUGGUAAGGUAACGGCUUACCAAGGCAACGAUGCAUAGCCGACCUGAGAGGGUGAUCGGCCACACUGGAACUGAGACACGGUCCAGACUCCUACGGGAGGCAGCAGUCGGGAAUCUUCCGCAAUGGGCGAAAGCCUGACGGAGCAACGCCGCGUGAGUGAUGAAGGUCUUCGGCUCGUAAAACUCUGUUAUUAGGGAAGAACAUAUGUGUAAGUAACUGUGCACAUCUUGACGGUACCUAAUCAGAAAGCCACGGCUAACUACGUG